rnacentral:rRNA from 1 species
UACGUAGGGGGCAAGCGUUGUUCGGAUUCAUUGGGCGUAAAGGGCAUGUAGGCGGUUAUGUAAGUGUGGAUUUAAAGGCGGAGGCUUAACCUCUAGUUUGGUCUGCAAACUGCGUAGCUUGAGUGUAGAAGGGGAAACUGGAAUUCCGCGUGUAGGGGUGAAAUCUGUAGAUAUGCGGAAGAAUACCUGUGGCGAAGGCGAGUUUCUGGUCUAUAACUGACGCUGAAAUGCGAAAGUGUGGGUAGCAAACAGG